rnacentral:lncRNA from 1 species
CAAAAUUUUCUGGAAUUCUAGAAUUUAAAAUCAUUUCACUGCUAAGAAGAUACUGGAAUUUUUUUUCAUGAUGUUGUCAAUAUGUCUGGAAAUUUGAGUGUAAAGGUUAGAACCAAUACCCAUGCCAGACAUCAGUGUUUAUUUUUAAGUCUUGAAUUUAUGUUUCUGUCUAAAUAUGCCAAAAAAUCCAGGAUUUACUCAGCAAUACAUUUUUACACAAUAUGCAGUCGU